rnacentral:lncRNA from 1 species
UUUCCUUAGUCUGACGUGAAGCCUGUCAUCAUUCUUUUUCCCCUCUUGCUGCUUGAACUUCCCUCUUUUCACUGUUUUCAAUAGACUCACUGUGCUUUGGACUCGUUUGUAUUUGUUUGUUUGUUUUAGUCAGCUCUUGUUUGCUUGAUGCUUGAUUGCCUGAAUCUGUGGAACUGUGGAGUUUCCACCACCCUUGGAAAGUACCCAUGAUCUAUUCCAACACACACACCUAGCCAUUCCCUUCCCUGGGUGUUUCUCUGCAUGAAUAUUAAGUUACAGUGUCUCAACUCACUCACCCAGGACCUUCUGCUUUCUGAGACAUAGCGUGCCUUCUUCCUGUACACCUCAGUCUAUUAUGCGUCUUUCCCAGCCACUGGUUUUUUCACCUUGAAGCUCUUUCGUCUUCUCAGCGAAGUGAGACAGCUAUGGUAUUGUUUCUUCUUUUUGUGCUUCAGUCAGGAACAGGGUGCCCAGCUGGAAUCUGGGAAAGGACAGGGCUUGACUUGAAUGUUUGCUUUUGACUGGUAUUACAGCCUUGUGCUGUGCGUUGUCAGCCCCCCAUUUGGAUUUCUUUAAGAGACGAGGAAGAGUAGCCAUUGCUACUCUGUCAUAGAAAAAAGUACAAGACUUCUGAAGCUUUUCCUCACUUGGGACUUGAUUCAUAUUCCAAUUUUGGGCUUUUAGCUAAUUGAUGUAGAUGUGUCGAAAUGGUUACUUGAUUCUGAAAUUGACUGAUAAACCAGGAACUGUGGUCUUCAUUUUAGAGAUUUAUGACAAGAAGUAGAAUGUGUUUGAACCAAAUUUAACCAAAGUAUGAGAAUCCCUUGACUUAAUAGAAGAAACACAGGAGACAAAUGCACCUUUCUCUCUACUGUGGUUCUACUGUGCCCUCCAAAACCCAUGCUGCAUUUCAUCCUCAUUGUUGUGAGUUAAGAGUGAAAUAGGAUGGGGCUGUGAUGAAGUGGUCGGGUCACAAGGGAUCUGACCUCAGGAGCAGAUUAAUCUACCUAUGGAUUCAUGGAUUCAUGGAUGGGGACUGCUUACUGUGUUUGUAGCUUUAUUAUAAAAGAGAACUACAUUGGUUAGCUUUGCAACAUUACAAGGAAAUAUUGCAAGCAACUAAUUGAUAAAGAGAAAGGGUUUCUCAAGCCAUUGUUUUGGAAUAUGCAUUGGCUCAAUCAUGUAGUUCUAUGUGGGUGUAAGAUGGUGAUACAUCAUAACAGAAGAAAGUAUAACUCAAGUCCUUACAUCUCAAAUGGUGGGUGGAUAGAAAAAUGUGGGUAGGGGGCACUAUCUCAUUCAAGGUCAUGUCUCUAAUGAGCCAAGACCCUCUCCGUAAGACCUCAAUUUAUAAAGAUCUUCAGCACUUUCCAAUAGCACUCCUCUGUGGAAACAAGUCUUUAGCACAUGAACCUCUGGAAGACACUAUCUGCAUUCAAACCAUGUCAAGGAAUUUCUCUAGCUUGCAUGCUUUGUCUUGUCAUAUGAUACCCUCUGUCAUGUCAUGACCCAAGAAGAAGACUCUCACCAAAUGUUAAUUAGAUGCUGGCACCAUAUUUUUGGGCUCUCAGAACCAAGAACAGAAUGAGUCCCUUUACUUUCAAGAUUAUCUAACAUGUAGUCUUAAGCUAUAAUAACAGAAACUGAAGUAAGAAACCCACACUUGAGUCAGUCAUUUUGAUAACAGUGUAUUCCAUGUCACCAUACAAAAAGUGGAUGAUGACCCCAAAUAUUCUAGAAGAUACCACUGUUAACAAUAGUGCACAGAUGUUUUCUUUCAUCGACCUAACUCUUCUCUGAUGUCAGUCAUCAACGUUCACCUGUCUUGGGUUAGUUUAACAAAGUUUGUUCCAGCUGUAAGUAG